CUGGCUGGAAGGGAAAGCGCGUUCGUUGAGUGAGUUACUCUACAACAUUUCUUGCUUUCUUGGGCUGCAUGGAACAUAAAGGGUUAUGUCAUGAAAUCAUGAACAACAACUUUGUCACUACAAGCACUUGGGUUUGUUCUGUCACAAUCCAAACAUAGAUAAGCGAUAAGCUUCUUUGACACGAUCUGGUGAAGGAUCUUCUCCUCUUUGCCACAUCCUUCCAUCUUCUCUGCAUCUCGAUCAGCAAAACCCCAUUCAAAAAUCGAAAUGCAUAUGAUAUAAUCCAGGAAAGCAUAAUUGGGAUGAUCAUAUCAUACUCGCAUUAGCCUAGCCCUGUAGCUAUAGUUUCUUUUAUUUCAAGCUGUCCUGUUUUCAUUUGAUACAAAUACUAUCACAAUGACUAACAAAAUUAUUCUGGAAAUUACAGAGCAGAGUAAACUAAUUGUAACGUAAAGGAAUUAGGAGAGGUGCGCUGAAAAGGAAAGAUCAAAGAGUUUUCACAGAAUAGAUCUCAAUGUUUUCGUUUUCCUUUGAGGGAAAGUAAUUGGAAAUGGUUAGACACAAAAUAUCAAGAACCUGCUGGUGUUUUCUACUUGCUGACGUUAGAAUCUUAAGCUCUCUGUGACAUUCAGCCUAGUAACAAGGGCUAAAUUAACCCAGGAAUCGUUGACCUAAUUUGCAAUUCAGGGUCCAAGAUGGUUGUCUUACCUUCAUCAUACUCCAGUCUCACAUUCAACAUCAAGAUUCUCAACUUUGGUCUGCUUCACCAUGUGCUAUACAAUAUUUCCAGAAUAUAUUGGCCUCCACCAUAGUUCCUUCACGAACCAUGCUCUUGGGCCAUUCUCAAGGCUUUGGCUACCUACACAUCCCAGAAGAAUUUUGAGAAGGUUUUCAGCAUUUCAGAGUUGCAUUGCUGCACUGCUACCCCAUUAUCAAGUUCUCCUGUAACUGUAUUGUUCCUGAACUUCAAGAGAGCAGCGUUAACUCAUUUCUGUUUAUUUUGACAGUUAAAAAUCAUAAACGUCAGUAUGCAGCACCAAGUAACACAAUUGACGUCAUUGAUGAGGAACCAACACAGCACAAAAACCAGAUAUACACAAGACAGAUGAAAACAAAGUGGCCUUUCCACUUUCUGAGUGGAUUCCGAGCAAAUGUAGUGUUAACAGGCUUUUUAAGAACUGAAAUAACUCCUUUAUGGGAAAUUCUGUGAGAGAGUUCGACCCAUGUUGUUAAGAAAUCUGCACAUGAAGCAUCGUAUGUGAUAUUACCAAAAAGAUUGUAUAUCACAAGACCUUAAUGCAUGAUUGAGUAGACCCUGAGUUUCAUAUAAAUGUCUGACAUGUGUAACUGUAUGCCUGAACACGAAGAGAAAAAGUGGGGUAGAAAAUGUAACACACUCUCAAAACACAGCAGGUAGAGCUCAAGGUACUUAAACUUUAGGGACAGAAUACAAAUUUUCCUUCACCUGGUAGGAACUAGGUACAUAGUCACUACUGUGAAUAUUUGCAGUUUAAGAAAAUGAAAUGUAGAUAAAAUAUCAAGCUGUCUUUCCGGGUAAAGGUCCCUUCAGCUCAUACCUAGAUGCUUCCCUAGAGAAUCUGCAAGAUAGUCUUGAGUUUCUCUCAAAAAGUGGCAAAAUCAUCUCGCAACAAGCGCAAAAAUCAUCGGCAAUUGGCACCAGUAUUUUCCAGAACCUCUGGCCAUUAUGUUGUUACUCCUGCGCUAUUCAG
rnacentral:lncRNA from 1 species